rnacentral:rRNA from 1 species
UACGUAGGGUGCGAGCGUUAAUCGGAAUUACUGGGCGUAAAGCGUGCGCAGGCGGUUGUGCAAGACAGAUGUGAAAUCCCCGGGCUCAACCUGGGAACUGCAUUUGUGACUGCACAGCUUGAGUGCGGCAGAGGGGGAUGGAAUUCCGCGUGUAGCAGUGAAAUGCGUAGAUAUGUGGAGGAACACCGAUGGCGAAGGCAGCCCCCUGGGUCAAGAUUGACGCUCAUGCACGAAAGCGUGGGGAGCAAACAGG